UGGCUUCAGCAGGAAGUCACGAAAGCCAGAGCUGUGGAUGGAGACGUAGGAACCCUUGACAUCCUUCUUGGCAGGGGCCUCAGACCCGUCUCCCCCAGCUGCUGUCUCUACUUCAUCUUCUUCAUAGUCCAAGAGUUCAUUGUCCACAUCAUUUUCUGCCAUAACUGGGCCGGCAGGGGGAGAAGGAGAUGGGUCUCUGGAUGGGUUCACGCAGAAUAAGUAAAAACAGAGGAGGAGAGUGGGGGCUGGAGCAACAGUUAAAAAAAAAAAAUACCCUAGUUUGUGAUAGAAGAGCUAGGAAAAAAAUAGAUGGAGGACUUAUUAGUCAGGAGCAGAGCCUUCGCCCCUCUUUUCCAUCCCCACACUCUUCCCACUUUCCCUAAACUGUGACCCCUUUACCUGGGGAUAAAACUAACAGGAACACAAAACAUAAAAGCAACAGCAAACAUAACACAGUGGUCCCAAGUGAGGUGGUUGAGACACAACUUUUCAACAAAAUUAGGAUCAGAAUAGCAUUAAGCAGGAAGUAGGAAGGGGACAACCAGCCCAUGAAUUCCUCAUCUGUAAGCAACAGUAAUGAAGAAAAACGGGUAACGAAAAGCAAAGUAGGACAACGGAGUGAAGAAUGGAGAUGACAAGAUCAGACUCCUCUCCGAUAACCGACAUGACACCACGCAUGAACAAGUGGAAAAUGUUCCAAGUGAUGGUUGGUGAGCUCACAGAAGGGUCCAACCAGGCUCAGUAGUCGGCUCCUCCUCCAGUUCCCACCUUGGGCCAUUAAGAGGACCCACAGAAGAGAGGAAAAGUGAAAGGAGCCCCGCCCUCCGCAAAUGCCCUGGACUAGAGGACAUCUACGCCGCCUCUCACCAUAGCUAGGGCCUCGGAUAAACGAGAAGCCCAAGCGAAGAAGCAGUGAGCGAAGGGAACACAAUGGCGCUGGGGCCACCAUCUUGGAUUGGGCCCCCUAGCAUCGCUACCCCCCCCUCCAGAAACUCUUAAGAGCUCUGAAAAGGGAUGCAAGCAAUAGAAAUAAUGACCCAACUAGGCCCCAAGGACCAGACUAUAGUCUGUGGAAGGGGUAUCAGGAGUCCAGGGAACAGGAUGGCCGCAAAGAAACGCAGAUGGAGGCGGAUGAUACCGAAGGCCAAAGCUUACCUGAGCAAGGCGAGCGCAUAUGGCGGCGGCAGCAGCGACGAAAGAGGGACUCUGCCUUCACUUCCGGUUUUCGCCUUCUCUCUCCCAGGCGCCUCGCCUUCCCGCCUGCCAGCACGCAGGCGCAGGAGACCGGAAGAAGACCCUUUCAGAUUCGAGAGUUCCGCGCGCUCCGGGGUUGCCUUUAGAAAACGCCUGUGUGGAUUUUUUUUUUUUUAAAGGCACUUCUAACUCCUUCGCUACUGCAAGUAACAAAAGCCUUGAAGGAAACUAGCAUCGUCUCCCACUGUUACCUCUUUUCUCUGUCCUCGUCCACUCCGCGUCCCUCACCUCUUCCCUCGGGUUCUUGCCGGCAGGUCUUCUCUCUGGUCACCCCUCCGUGGGCGCCCCGCUCGGCAACAGGCUGGCGGGGCUGAGAGUUCCCACGGGGUCCUCCGCCCGGUAGUCAAGGUGACCGGCGCGUCCUCGCUGGAGCUAGUCUGACCCCAGCUGAGGGGAGGGAGUGAGCCGGCGCUGCGCCCGCGGGUCCUCCCCUACCCCUUCCCCAGCGGUGGAGACGGUGGGCGGUGUCUUCCCAAAAUAAUUUGGCCGGUGUAAUUGACUGAUGGGCAGGAAAUUCGAGUCAAGAAGGUGUUCUGCAACCAACGGGUUGGAUCGUCUCCAGGUGUUAAAAAUAAAUGGAGUCUGGUUAAUAUUUACACUGUGGAUUACCUCAUUGGUUCAAGUCUUCGGUCUGGUGAAGCACGGAUUGUUUUCUGAGAGAAAACACCGUGUCCAAGAGAACGGUGACCCAAGAAUCGUGUGGUAGAAGGGCGGUUUUUCCAACCCUAAGUAUCCGUCGAUUCAACAGUAUUUAUCCACUGCCUACCUUAUGUCGAGUGCUAACCUAGGAUCUGGAGACUCAGUGAACAGCCCUGUCAUCACAGAGUUUCCACUCCAGGGAAGAAAACAAAUAAGCAAAUGUCAAGUAGUAAUAAAUGUCAUUAAGAAAAAUAAAGAGGGGAUCCCUGGGUGGCGCUGCGGUUUGGCGCCUGCGUUUGGCCCAGGGCGCGAUC